CGGGGGAGCGAUGGCACAAACCAUG
rnacentral:piRNA from 1 species